GGCAACGUGGCGUAGUCGGCAACACGUUCGCUUCAUAAGCGGAUGAUCAUGGGUUUGAUUCCCAGCCCUCUCA
rnacentral:tRNA from 1 species